CCGAGAUGACUGACCUGAGUGUGGCACAGAAACCAGAAAAACUCCUGGAGCGCUGCAAGUACUGGCCUGCUUGUAAAAAUGGGGAUGAGUGUGUGUACCAUCACCCCAUUUCACCUUGCAAAGCCUUUCCCAACUGUAAAUUUGCUGAGAAAUGUUUGUUUGUGCAUCCAAAUUGUAAAUAUGACGCAAAGUGUACUAAAGCAGAUUGUCCCUUCACUCACAUGAGUAGAAGAGGUCCAGUACUGACUCCAAAACCAGUGUCGUCACCAGCGCCAUCUUCUAAUGGCCAGCUCUGCCGUUACUUCCCUGCCUGUAAGAAAAUGGAGUGUCCCUUCUACCACCCCAAACACUGUAGGUUUAAUACCCAGUGUACAAGACCAGACUGUACGUUUUAUCACCCCACUAUUACUGUGCCACCAAGACAUGCCUUGAAAUGGAUUCGACCUCAAACCAGUGAAUGAUGCCCUAGUCCUACCUGGCAGAAGAUCAUGCAGUUUGAAAGCUUCCGUCUUCUGAUGAGAGAUGUUCUACAGAACUUGUCACGUCUUUGAAAUUUAGAAUAUAUUGCUUUCAUAAUAUGAAUUUUACUGCCCAACUGAAGUGUCUAAUUUUUCAAAUUUGUAAGUUUAUUAAGUGGUUUCAACCUUUUUUGUUUGUUCGUUUUGACUAUGAAAAAGACAGUUUAAAGAAAAGCCAAUUCUAUUAAACACUGCGGCAUGUUUGU
rnacentral:lncRNA from 1 species